rnacentral:misc_RNA from 1 species
GAUGAAGAACGAAGCGAAAUGCGAUAAGUAAUGUGAAUUGCAGAAUUCAGUGAAUCAUCGAAUCUUUGAACGCACAUUGCGCCCGCCAGUAUUCUGGCGGGCAUGCCUGUCUGAGCGUCAUUUCAACCCUCAUGCCCCUAGGGCGUGGUGUUGGGGAUCGGCCAAAGCCCGCGAGGGACGGCCGGCCCCUAAAUCUAGUGGCGGACCCGUCGUGGCCUCCUCUGCGAAGUAGUGAUAUUCCGCAUCGGAGAGCGACGAGCCCCUGCCGUUAAACCCCCAACUUUCCAAGGUUGACCUCAGAUCAGGAAGGAAUACCCGCUGAACUUAAGCAUAUCAAUAAGCGGAGGA